rnacentral:rRNA from 1 species
CCUACGGGAGGCAGCAGUGGGGAAUUUUGGACAAUGGGCGCAAGCCUGAUCCAGCAAUGCCGCGUGAGUGAAGAAGGCCUUCGGGUUGUAAAGCUCUUUUGUCGGGGAAGAAACGGUGGAGGUUAAUACCUUCUGCUAAUGACGGUACCUGAAGAAUAAGCACCGGCUAACUACGUGCCAGCAGCCGCGGUAAUACGUAGGGUGCAAGCGUUAAUCGGAAUUACUGGGCGUAAAGCGUGCGCAGGCGGUUGUGCAAGACAGAUGUGAAAUCCCCGGGCUCAACCUGGGAAUUGCAUUUGUGACUGUACGGCUAGAGUGUGUCAGAGGGGGGUAGAAUUCCACGUGUAGCAGUGAAAUGCGUAGAGAUGUGGAGGAAUACCGAUGGCGAAGGCAGCCCCCUGGGAUAACACUGACGCUCAUGCACGAAAGCGUGGGGAGCAAACAGGAUUAGAUACCCUGGUAGUCCACGCCCUAAACGAUGUCUACUAGUUGUCGGGUCUUAAUUGACUUGGUAACGCAGCUAACGCGUGAAGUAGACCGCCUGGGGAGUACGGUCGCAAGAUUAAAACUUAAAUGAAUUGACGG